UACAGAGGUCUCAAGCGUUGUUCGGAUUCAUUGGGCGUAAAGGGUGCGUAGGCGGCGCGGUAAGUCGGGUGUGAAAUCUCGGAGCUUAACUCCGAAACUGCAUUCGAUACUGCCGUGCUUGAGGACUGGAGAGGAGACUGGAAUUUACGGUGUAGCGGUGAAAUGCGUAGAUAUCGUAAGGAACACCGGUGGCGAAGGCGGCACGCUGGGCCCGCCCUGACGCUGAGGCGCGAAAGCCAGGGGAGCGAACGGG
rnacentral:rRNA from 1 species